UAAGGGCGCACGGUGGAUGCCUUGGCACUAGAAGCCGAUGAAGGACGUUACUAACGACGAUAUGCUUUGGGGAGCUGUAAGUAAGCUUUGAUCCAGAGAUUUCCGAAUGGGGAAACCCAGCAUGAGUUAUGUCAUGUUAUCGAUAUGUGAAUACAUAGCAUAUCAGAAGGCACACCCGGAGAACUGAAACAUCUUAGUACCCGGAGGAAGAGAAAGAAAAUUCGAUUCCCUUAGUAGCGGCGAGCGAAACGGGAAGAGCCCAAACCAACAAGCUUGCUUGUUGGGGUUGUAGGACACUCUAUACGGAGUUACAAAGGACGACAUUAGACGAAUCAUCUGGAAAGAUGAAUCAAAGAAGGUAAUAAUCCUGUAGUCGAAAAUGUUGUCUCUCUUGAGUGGAUCCUGAGUACGACGGAGCACGUGAAAUUCCGUCGGAAUCUGGGAGGACCAUCUCCUAAGGCUAAAUACUCUCUAGUGACCGAUAGUGAACCAGUACCGUGAGGGAAAGGUGAAAAGCACCCCGGAAGGGGAGUGAAAUAGAACCUGAAACCGUGUGCUUACAAGUAGUCAGAGCCCGUUAAUGGGUGAUGGCGUGCCUUUUGUAGAAUGAACCGGCGAGUUACGAUUUGAUGCAAGGUUAAGCAGUAAAUGUGGAGCCGUAGCGAAAGCGAGUCUGAAUAGGGCGUUUAGUAUUUGGUCGUAGACCCGAAACCAGGUGAUCUACCCUUGGUCAGGUUGAAGUUCAGGUAACACUGAAUGGAGGACCGAACCGACUUACGUUGAAAAGUGAGCGGAUGAACUGAGGGUAGCGGAGAAAUUCCAAUCGAACCUGGAGAUAGCUGGUUCUCUCCGAAAUAGCUUUAGGGCUAGCCUCAAGUGAUGAUUAUUGGAGGUAGAGCACUGUUUGGACGAGGGGCCCCUCUCGGGUUACCGAAUUCAGACAAACUCCGAAUGCCAAUUAAUUUAACUUGGGAGUCAGAACAUGGGUGAUAAGGUCCGUGUUCGAAAGGGAAACAGCCCAGACCACCAGCUAAGGU
rnacentral:rRNA from 1 species